rnacentral:lncRNA from 1 species
GCAGAGCAAAAGCUGCUUGUGUCAUGGUGUCCAGAAAGCAGAGAGCGAAGGGAAGAACUAGGAAGGGAGACAUACUCUUCCACAUCGUUGCCCCAGUGACACAAUGGUCAAUUGCAUUAUGUUGGAAGGGAAGUGAGAGAGCACACCUGGAGCAGCAUCCUGCCUCACAUGAGAGAGUUGAUCAGGAGAGACAGCAAACCUGAGAUGGAAGGGUGGCAUCUUGCCCUAAAGAGAGCACAACAUUGGGAAGCAGCGAAGAGAAUGACUAACCAACCUGAUCCUGGACAAAAACAAGACUAAGGGAGAGAAAGGAGCAAACAUAAGGUUCAACAGCUCACUUAAACCCUUGCCUUGUGGCCCAUUUAUCAACAGGAGCAAGGAUUUGGCUUGACUUGAGAGGUAAUCAUAGUCUGGGGGCUGGGGAACAAACAGAAGAGCUGCUAGUGCAAAGAGGGCACCUCAAAGACCCAUCAGUCCUAAAGCUAAGCAUAAAAAAUCAUGUCUGGAUGGAUCCCAACAUUGAAGAUCAUGGAAAGAACCACUUAUUCAAUAACAUGGUGAUGUUUUUGACUCAAUUUUUUAAACAUUUUC